UAAGCUUAGUGCUCAUCUCAACAAGGCACCGUCAGGGAAUCGGGAGAGGAAAAGGAAAGCUGAUAUCUUAUGUUUACAAAAGACUCAAUACAGCUAAACAAAGAGAGAGAGACCAAACACUAACCCAGACCGACAGCGUGAUCUUUAUAACAUUGGAAUAUCGUUUGUGACGUGACGCCGACAGCUUAUCUAUUACGUCACAUGACGUCAUUACAAGCUUAGCUGUUUACUCAGAUUAGCACUUGUAUUGAUAAACAACUACUUAGCAUAAUUAUAAUUGUUUUAAUCAAUAUAAUACAACUACAGUGCUUAUUUUAAAUGUAUUUGAUUAAUUCUUUCUCGUUUUAUCGUCAUCAUUAUUACUGUGCACUGCUAAACAUAUUCAUUAAAAAAUUAAUAAUUGGAACAAUGUCAAUGAAUUUCAAACAAUUAUGUCAAAUCACAGUACGUUCCAUUUCCCUGUCCUCCUAUAAGAGUUUAGCAUCCUCCUUGCCUUCCUCUUCACGUCAGGGUGAGGAUCGUUAUACAAUCUCUCUAUUGCCUCCACAAUCCUCUCCUCUAAAUGAGCUGGUGAACCGUCCCCCAGUGCA